UCCUCGUUAGUAUAGUGGUGAGUAUCCCCGCCUGUCACGCGGGAGACCGGGGUACGAUUUCCCGACGGGGAG
rnacentral:tRNA from 1 species